GCCCACAUAGAUUAAUAAAAUCGUAAGGCUGUUAACUUUAAGAUGCUUAAUUUUGAGCUGUGAGCG
rnacentral:tRNA from 1 species